rnacentral:rRNA from 1 species
CACGCCGUAAACGAUGAGUGCUAGGUGUCGGGUGUCAAAGCUCGGUGCCGAAGUUAACACAUUAAGCACUCCGCCUGGGGAGUACGUGCGCAAGCAUGAAACUCAAAGGAAUUGACGGGGACCCGCACAAGCAGCGGAGCAUGUGGUUUAAUUCGAAGCAACGCGAAGAACCUUACCAGGACUUGACAUAUACGUGAAUACGUUAGAGAUAGCGUAGUCUUUUCGGAGACACGUAUACAGGUGG